rnacentral:rRNA from 1 species
UACGUAGGCAGCAAGCGUUGUUCGGAGUUACUGGGCGUAAAGGGUGUGUAGGCGGUUGGAUAAGUGUGGUGUGAAAUCUCCCGGCUCAACUGGGAGGGUGCGCUACAAACUGUCUGACUAGAGUGUGGGAUGGGUAAGUGGAAUUCCUGGUGUAGCGGUGAAAUGCGCAGAUAUCAGGAGGAACACCGGUGGCGAAGGCGGGUCUCUGGGCCGGCAUUGACGCUGAGUGAGCGAAAGCCAGGGGAGCAAACGGG